rnacentral:rRNA from 1 species
CACAGAGCUGCAUGGCUCAGUGUGAAAAACUCCGGUGGUAUAAGAUGGACCCGCGUUGGAUUAGCUGGUUGGCGGGGUAACGGCCCACCAAGGCGACAAUCCAUAGCCGGCCUGAGAGGGUGAACGGCCACAUUGGGACUGAGACACGGCCCAGACUCCUACGGGAGGCAGCAGUGGGGAAUAUUGCACAAGUGGGGGAAACCCUGAUGCAGCGACGCCGCGUGAAGGAAGAAGUAUCUCGGUAUGUAAACUUCUAUCAGCAGGGAAGAUAGUGACGGUACCUGACUAAGAAGCCCCGGCUAACUACGUGCCAGCAGCCGCGGUAAUACGUAGGGGGCAAGCGUUAUCCGGAUUUACUGGGUGUAAAGGGAGCGUAGACGGUGUGGCAAGUCUGAUGUGAAAGGCAUGGGCUCAACCUGUGGACUGCAUUGGAAACUGUCAUACUUGAGUGCCGGAGGGGUAAGCGGAAUUCCUAGUGUAGCGGUGAAAUGCGUAGAUAUUAGGAGGAACACCAGUG